rnacentral:rRNA from 1 species
UACGUAGGGUGCAAGCGUUGUCCGGAAUUAUUGGGCGUAAAGAGCUCGUAGGCGGUUUGUCGCGUCUGCUGUGAAAAUCCAGGGCUUAACCCUGGACCUGCAGUGGGUACGGGCAGACUGGAGUGCGGUAGGGGAGAUCGGAAUUCCUGGUGUAGCGGUGAAAUGCGCAGAUAUCAGGAGGAACACCGGUGGCGAAGGCGGAUCUCUGGGCCGUAACUGACGCUGAGGAGCGAAAGCAUGGGGAGCGACCAGG